rnacentral:rRNA from 1 species
GACGAACGCUGGCGGCGUGCUUAACACAUGCAAGUCGAACGCACAGACAGAGAGCUUGCUCUCUUGAAGCUAGUGGCGAACGGGUGAGUAACGCGUAAUCAACCUGCCCUUCAGAGGGGGAUAACAACGGGAAACCGUUGCUAAUACCGCGAACGAUUCAUGAACGGCAUCGUUUAUGAAUGAAAGGUGGCCUCUAUGGAAAAGCUAUCGCUGAAGGAGGGGAUUGCGUAUGAUUAUCUAGUUGGAGGGGUAACGGCCCAGCAAGGCAAUGAUCAGUAGCCGGUCUGAGAGGAUGAACGGCCACAUUGGGACUGAGACACGGCCCAAACUCCUACGGGAGGCAGCAGUGGGGAAUCUUCCGCAAUGGACGAAAGUCUGACGGAGCAACGCCGCGUGAGUGAUGAAGGUCUUCGGAUUGUAAAGCUCUGUUAAUCGGGACGAAAGAGUUCUGCGUGAAUAAUGCAGAAAAGUGACGGUACCGGAAUAGAAAGCCACGGCUAACUACGUGCCAGCCGCCGCGGUAA